rnacentral:sRNA from 1 species
AUUUUGCUUCUUUUUUU